AUCUUCUCUAAUCCUGUAAAAGAUCAAUGUCAACUCCACACUCUUCAUCAUUUAGACCGAUAGUUAUAAAAUUGUUUCCUUCUUCUUGCCAGCCCAAAUCGGUUUUGGAUUAUUGGAGUGGCGGUGAUUAUGUCGUCGUCAUUUCUUCCAGGCACUUGCUUAAGCUCAACCUUGUCAAAGAAGGUCCAUCUUGAUUUCACUGUUCCAAAUUUCCUGUGCAGAAGAAGGUUCUGCCCUUACUAUUUUGUCAGUAACACCCAAUAUUUGGUUAGCUUUGACCAUAUAACAUGUCACCGUUUUUCCCAUUUGAAACACUAAUACAGUCAAGUUAAAUAAUAUAGCUAUGGUAUUAACACACAUGUGGAUACGGUUGUUCAAACUCUAUCGCCAAAUUCAUGGAGCUAGCACGCCUUGCAGUCGACUCCGGCAGCGACCCCUCUUCUAUCAACCGCGCGCUUGACCCCACCUUGGUUCUGUUGCCUGACAUUAGGUGGCGAAGAAGAACAAAUGCCAACUCACAAGAACACCAUAUGGGAGGCGCUUUGCUAAAAAGGACAUCAAUUCAUACUUGGCGUGUUUGUUUGAAUUGAUUGUGGCACAAGGACGAUCAGUGGGAUUAAAUGUAUCUCUUAGUCGAUAUGAUCUCUUUCACGGGCACCUCUUCCUUGCUUCUGGGAUAGGAAGGCUUGGAAUUCUGUAAGUGUCAUCAAUUACUCUGUGCGACUAACAAGAAAAUGUAGGGGGGGAAAUACUGG